rnacentral:rRNA from 1 species
CCUACGGGAGGCAGCAGUGAGGAAUAUUGGUCAAUGGACGAGAGUCUGAACCAGCCAAGUAGCGUGAAGGAUGACUGCCCUAUGGGUUGUAAACUUCUUUUAUAUGGGAAUAAAAUGUUCCACGUGUGGGAUUUUGUAUGUACCAUAUGAAUAAGGAUCGGCUAACUCCGUGCCAGCAGCCGCGGUAAUACGGAGGAUCCGAGUGUUAUCCGGAUUUAUUGGGGUUAAAGGGAGCGUAGGUGGAUUGUUAAGUCAGUUGUGAAAGUUUGCGGCUCAACCGUAAAAUUGCAGUUGAAACUGGCAGUCUUGAGUACAGUAGAGGUGGGCGGAAUUCGUGGUGUAGCGGUGAAAUGCUUAGAUAUCACGAAGAACUCCGAUUGCGAAGGCAGCUCGCUGGACUGCAACUGACACUGAGGCUCGAAAGUGUGGGUAUCAAACAGGAUUAGAUACCCCAGUAGUC